UUGCAAUCAUAGGGCUUCUAUCCACAAUCGCUCAUUCAAUUCGCUUCGAGAUCGAAUCGGGUCACACAAAGUGUAUAGCAGAAGAUAUCAAAAGCAGUUCGAUGACUGUUGGUCAGUACUCAAUUGUUAACCCUAAUGAAGGACAACCUUUACGGCUUUACCUGAAUCUCACAGAAUCACUUUCAGAGCUCGGGAGAAAGAAGCAGAUGGAUUAGGGUUAGAAAUUGGGGGAGAUAUGUUACAUAUGUAAUUUUUUGUUUUAUUUAUUAAGAAAUAUUUAAAUAAAAGCAUGAAAUGACCAUGAUACCCUUAAGUGAACGGAUUUAACUUAA